CCCAUAAUCACCAAAAUGUCACUCAUGCUCUCCUUUCACUCUUCAGAAUGUGUAAGAGGCAUUCAGGUCUUUACUUCCUUCACUUCACCACUUUUCACUCAAAUUCUUGCAAAAAAACCCUUAGGAGCUCUCUUGGGCAGCUUUCAGUGGCUUUUUGUGUGCCAUUUCUGGAACCCUUGUCAAGAUUCAAGAUUCAUGUUCACGUUCAUGUUCAUGUACAGCCACCAGUAGGGGCUCCACACCACACCGAUCGGGGCCCGAAUUGUCAUAGCGGAUCAGGAAUGACUCUUUCUCCCUUUUUGACUUGUUGUUCCAUUUUUAGAAGAUGACAUAGAGAAUCGCCCACCCUUAUUCAA